UGAAACUGGAUGAUCAUUGUGGUCCUUUUCAACCCAGGCCGUUCUAUGGUUCUAUGAUACUAUGAUCGUGUCCAAACACAAAGUCCAGUCAUAGCAGUCUUCAACACAGUCCAAAGAAUAGCGGGUGCCUGCUCAAAGGACUGCUAAAUUCUUCCUUUUGCCAAUUCAGAGUCUCCUGAUUUGUUAGUAAUCCUUCCUUUCUCCCAGUUUCUCAUCCUAUCAGGUGUAUUAGCACUGUACUUGAGUUGGUGGAAAUUCAGGAAAUCUUGCAUAUGAAAAAAAUGCCUUUAGCUUCUCUUUAUUUAUCUUUUAUUUCCUUAGGUCCACAGUAGAAAGUAUUCAUUCUUUUACUGCCACUUGGGUUUUUCUUCACAAAAUAUUUUUGUAGAUUUUGCCUCUUGCUAAAAAUACCUUCUUAGACGAAUGGUAAAUUAUGCAUUUUGUUCGUCUUGAUGAGUCCAUGAGAUAUGCCAGCACUUGAUUCAACCAGCAGGAAAACAAAUGCUACAACUGAGAAAUUCCUGCAAGGAAAAGCAGGUCUGGGCAGCCACCACAGGUGCUUCAUUAAUCUGUUGCAACUGACACAGAUUGACGCUUAACGUACUGCCAUGAGUGGAUGAUUACAAUCCCCAUACCCUGAAGGGCAUUUUCAUAUCAAAAUAGAGUUGAGACAAAUCAGUAGAGAAGAGAGAAGCUUUGCUCUUUUGACAAAACAAGAACAUUUACAACUCAGAAGCACUUUAUCUCCUUGAGUGUCACUUUGAAUGAGUCAGAGAGGAUAACGAGCUGGUGCAGGAGAAUGUGUGAUGUGAUAUCAUGUCUUUUCAUGUGCUUCUCAGUUCUACCAAGGUUACUUCUUUAUGAAUAAUCAAGAAUGGAAAAGAUGUAAAGAUUGGACUCUGAAGUAAACAGAAAGCUUACUCAACUCAUACCACUACACUCAUUAGGACAGGUGUUUGAAAUACGCCUGCAAUGCAUGCUUUCUCUUGAAGAUGGACUGCACUGAGCUGCCUGGAGGAAUGAAACUUGCUUGUCCUGGCUUUUCUCAGUGUACUUUGAAAGACGUGGGAGGGGGACAUCAGGGUGCUCAGAUCUGAGUACCUUCCCUUGUUAGUGCUGUAAGUUCUUUCUUAGCAGAGGAAACUGUGACCAAGUGAAUAUAUGUCAUUAUCUCAAAUGAAACAUGAUUGUAUUUCCUAUUUUUUCUAACAGCACAGAGGUCAUUCUAGACAUUUCCAAUCCUGUAAGUUCAUCAAUUUCAUCAGUUCUGACCUUUCCUUCAUUUUUUGUUACUGCAACUGUAUCUCAGCUUAGGCUAGCGGAUGCUUCACUUGUCAUUUUUGUCCCUGGCCCAUGGAGACAACUGAGAUCCAGGCACUCAAAAACCCAGCACGGACGUGCACUCUGCUGUUCAAGCUGGUUCCAGGCAUACAAGGAUAUAAGCAUGAAAAUGAUACUGUUCUAUACAUACCUGUUACCAAAAAGUAAUCUCAAUCAUCUUUGAACUGGUGACCAAAACUCUAAGCAUGUAAUAAUUUAACUUGCUUUAUUACAUAAUAAUAAUUUAAGAUAAAUCAAAAUUUGUUAAAAUUUAUUGAGUAAAAUUUCCAGUGGGUGUUUUUUCCUCCAGGAAAUGUAAGGAGUUCUGCA
ensembl:lncRNA